CACCGCGGUUAUACGAGAGACCCAAGUUGAUAGACAUCGGCGUAAAGAGUGGUUAAGAUGUAUCCGUACUAAAGCCGAACACCUUCAAAGCUGUUAUACGCACCCGGAGGUAAGAAGUCCACUCACGAAAGUGGCUUUACAAUAUCUGAACCCACGAAAGCUAUGACA
rnacentral:rRNA from 1 species